GAUGCCUUGGCAGUCAGAGGCGAUGAAAGACGUGACAGCCUGCGAAAAGCGUCGGGGAGGCGGCAAUAUCCUGUGAUCCGGCGAUAUCUGAAUGGGGAAACCCACUUGUCAUAAGACAGGUAUCGUAAAUUUAUUUACGAGGCAAACCGGGAGAAGUGAAACAUCUCAGUAACCCGAGGAAAAGACAUCAAUAGAGAUUCCCCUAGUAGCGGCGAGCGAACGGGGAGGAGCCGACUGAUUAUAAUUUAGAGGAAUGACUUGGAAAGGUCAAUCGUAGAGGGUGAUAAUCCCGUACUCGAAAGGUUAUAAGAAGCAUAUUAAGUAGGGCGGAACACGAGAAAUUCUGUCUGAAGAUGGGGGGACCAUCCUCCAAGGCUAAAUACUCCUGACUGACCGAUAGUGAACCAGUACCGUGAGGGAAAGGCGAAAAGAACCCCUGUGAGGGGAGUGAAAUAGAUCCUGAAACCGUGUACGUACAAGCAGUAGGAGCAGACUUGUUCUGUGACUGCGUACCUUUUGUAUAAUGGGUCAGCGACUUAUAUUUUGUAGCGAGGUUAACCGAUUAGGGUAGCCGUAGGGAAACCGAGUCUUAACUGGGCGAAUAGUUGCAAGGUAUAGACCCGAAACCCGGUGAUCUAGCCAUGAGCAGGUUGAAGGUUGAGUAACAUCAACUGGAGGACCGAACCCACUAACUUUGAAAAGUUAGGGGAUGACCUGUGGUUAGGAGUGAAAGGCUAAUCAAACCGGGAGAUAGCUGGUUCUCCCCGAAAUCUAUUUAGGUAGAGCCUCGGACGAAUACUUACGGGGGUAGAGCACUGUUAAGGCUAGGGGGUCAUCCCGACUUACCAACCCUUUGCAAACUCCGAAUACCAGUAAGUACUAUCCGGGAGACACACGGCGGGUGCUAACGUCCGUCGUGGAGAGGGAAACAACCCAGACCGCCAGCUAAGGUCCCAAAGUACUAGUUAAGUGGGAAACGAUGUGGGAAGGCACAGACAGCUAGGAGGUUGGCUUAGAAGCAGCCAUCCUUUAAAGAAAGCGUAAUAGCUCACUAGUCGAGUCGGCCUGCGCGGAAGAUGUAACGGGGCUAAACUAUGCACCGAAGCUGCGGAUUUAAUCUUAGGAUUAAGUGGUAGGGGAGCGUUCUGUAAGCGGUUGAAGGUGUACCGGGAGGUAUGCUGGACGUAUCAGAAGUGCGAAUGCUGACAUGAGUAACGAUAAGGGGAGUGAAAAACUCCCCCGCCGAAAGACCAAGGUUUCCUGUCCCAUGUUAAUCAGGGCAGGGUAAGUCGGCCCCUAAGGCGAGGCGGAAACGCGUAGUCGAUGGGAAACAGAUUAAUAUUUCUGUACUUCUAUAUAUUGCGAAGGAGGGACGGAGAAGGCUAAGCAAGCAUGGCGAUGGUUGUCCAUGUGAAAGUGAGUAGGGCGUUUGUUUAGGUAAAUCCGGACGAACACUAAACCUGAGACACGAGACGAGCUACUACGGUAGUGAAGUUGCUGAUGCCAUACUUCCAGGAAAAGCCUCUAAGCUUCAGAUUAUACCGAAUCGUACCCCAAACCGACACAGGUGGUCAGGUAGAGAAUACUAAGGCGCUUGAGAGAACUCGGGUGAAGGAACUAGGCAAAAUCGUACCGUAACUUCGGGAGAAGGUACGCUCUUAUCAGUGAAGUCCCUUGCGGAUGGAGCAGACGAGAGUCGCAGAUACCAGGUGGCUGCAACUGUUUAUUAAAAACACAGCACUGUGCAAAAUCGAAAGAUGACGUAUACGGUGUGACGCCUGCCCGGUGCCGGAAGGUUAAUUGAUGGGGUUAGUUUUCGGACGAAGCUCUUGAUCGAAGCCCCGGUAAACGGCGGCCGUAACUAUAACGGUCCUAAGGUAGCGAAAUUCCUUGUCGGGUAAGUUCCGACCUGCACGAAUGGUGCAACGAUCUGGACACUGUCUCAGCCAUGAGCUCGGUGAAAUUGUAGUAUCGGUGAAGAUGCCGAUUACCCGCAGCGGGACGAAAAGACCCCGUGAACCUUUACUAUAGCUUAGUAUUGACUUUGGAUAAGUAAUGUGUAGGAUAGGUG
rnacentral:rRNA from 1 species